ACCUUCAGUUGUGGUAGUAUUUUUUCGCAAAUUGUGUAAAGAAGCCGAAGGAAUUUGAAGAAGUUUUUGUGCAAGAAUUUUUGAUUAAAAAAAUUAAAUAAAAAGUGUGAAAAAAUAAAACUAUUACACAAAUACAUUCAAAAUGAGUGGAAUGGAUAAAAGAAAAUUAUCGACAUCUGGCGAUUCACUUUAUGAAAUAUUAGGACUUCCUAAAACAGCAACAGCUGAAGAUAUAAAAAAGACUUAUAGGAAACUUGCUUUGAAAUAUCAUCCAGAUAAAAAUCCCGACAAUGUUGAUGCUGCCGAUAAGUUUAAGGAAGUCAAUCGUGCACAUUCGAUACUAAGUGAUCAAACAAAACGUAACAUUUACGAUAAUUAUGGUUCAUUAGGUCUCUACAUUGCUGAACAAUUUGGCGAAGAAAAUGUCAAUGCAUACUUUGUGGUCACAUCGCCAGCAGUUAAGGCAUUGGUUAUUUGUUGUACAAUAAUUACCGGUUGCUGCUGCUGUUGCUGCUGUUGUUGUUGCUGCAACUUCUGCUGUGGCAAGUUUAAGCCACCUGCAAAUGAAUCACAUGAUCAGUAUUCACAUUUAAAUCGUGACGGUGAAGUUAGAGAAGCUAGUGAUCGUCCCCCAAAUAUGGGUCAACCAGAACAACUUGAGGAAGUUGAUUUGGACGCAGAUCCAACCAUGUCAACACAAAAUCAAGGAAAUACAUCAAACGCUGGUGGUCAACCCGUAUUUGCAAUGCCACCACCACCUGCAACGGGUGUAAAUCCAUUUACUGGUGCUCCAGUAGCUGCCACAGAGCAAACUUCGUUGAAUACAACAGAACAAACAACUUAUACCCCAGCUAUUUGUUGGAAAUAAUUCCUUUUAAUGUGUAUUAUCAUUAGUAUUUUUGCGAAAACUAUUUCUUAAAACUUUUUUGAAUAUGUAAGCAUUUUGAUUGUUUCUUCAUACGAAUAUAUGGUAAACCAAAAAUAUUGAAACUUCUACACACACAUUAACAACAUUUUCAACCACAACAUAAAAAAGAAAAAACCAUUUACAAAAUUUUACAAACAUUAUGCAUAAAAUUUGUUUAAUAUUUUUUCCUAUUUUUUAAAAAAUAAUGUAAAGUAUUUAAUAUUAUUAAUUACGCAAAAACAAAGUAAUUAUUUACAAAAACAAAUCAUAUAAACCAUAAAUCAAAUUCCAAUUACCAAAUAAUCAAGAAAAACAAAAAAACCGAGUGAAAAAAGGCUUUAAACAUAACAAAAUAAAGAAUAUGAUGCCAUGAUUCAUACACAAUUUAACACAAUAAUUAAAAAAAAGCCUAAAGGCAUGCUAUAAAAAAGUUUAUUUUAAGUCGUCAUAAUUAAGAACCAAGAGAAAAAAUAUUAAAUUGUAAUUAUAUAAACAAAACUAUUUCAAAAAUUUAACAAAAAAAAAACCAACCAAAUUUAAAGAAAACAAAUAAAUUUCUAUAGUAAUUAUAUUUUAAUUGUAUAAUAUUUAUAUAUAAAUACCUUUUUCCAAAAUAAAACAAAAAAACUACAAACCACUUAAUUAUUAUGUAUACAUUAUGUAGUAAAUAACUUGAAUGUAUAUGUACGUAUUUGUUUAAUUUAUAUCAAAAUUAAAAAUAAAAAACAAAACUUUAAAAAUAAAAUAUAUAUAUAUUAAAAAAAAAUAA